UACGUAGGUGGCAAGCGUUGUCCGGAAUUAUUGGGCGUAAAGCGCGCGCAGGUGGUUUCUUAAGUCUGAUGUGAAAGCCCACGGCUCAACCGUGGAGGGUCAUUGGAAACUGGGGAACUUGAGUGCAGGAGAGAAGAGUGGAAUUCCACGUGUAGCGGUGAAAUGCGUAGAUAUCGGGAGGAACACCAGUGGCGAAGGCGACUUCCUGGCCUGUUCUUGACGCUGAGGCGCGAAAGCUAGGGGAGCAAACGGG
rnacentral:rRNA from 1 species